rnacentral:rRNA from 1 species
AAGGAAUAUUGCGCAAUGGGCGACAGCCUGACGCAGCGACGCCGCGUGGGGGAUGAAGGUCUUCGGAUUGUAAACCCCUUUCGGGAGGGAAGAGGGAAUGGGGUAACCCAUUCGGACGGUACCUCCAGAAGCAGCCACGGCUAACUUCGUGCCAGCAGCCGCGGUAAUACGAAGGUGGCAAGCGUUGUUCGGAUUCACUGGGCGUACAGGGAGCGUAGGCGGUUGGGUAAGCCCUCCGUGAAAUCUCCGGGCCUAACCCGGAAAGUGCAGAGGGGACUGCUCGGCUUGAGGACGGGAGAGGAGCGCGGAAUUCCCGGUGUAGCGGUGAAAUGCGUAGAGAUCGGGAGGAAGGCCGGUGGCGAAGGCGGCGCUCUGGAACGUUUCUGACGCUGAGGCUCGAAAGCGUGGGGAGCAA